GACGAACGCUGGCGGCGUGCUUAACACAUGCAAGUCGAACGGAAAGGCCCUUCGGGGUACUCGAGUGGCGAACGGGUGAGUAACACGUUGGUGAUCUGCCCUGCACUUUGGGAUAAGCCUGGGAAACUGGGUCUAAUACCGAAUAGGACCACGCGCUUCAUGGUGUGUGGUGGAAAGCUUUUGCGGUGUGGGAUGGGCCCGCGGCCUAUCAGCUUGUUGGUGGGGUAAUGGCCUACCAAGGCGACGACGGGUAGCCGGCCUGAGAGGGUGACCGGCCACACUGGGACUGAGGUACGGCCCAGACUCCUACGGGAGGCAGCAGUGGGGAAUAUUGCAAAAUGGGCGCAAGCAUGAUGCAGCGACGCCGCGUGAGGGAUGACGGCCUUCGGGGUGUAAACCUCUUUCAAUAGGGAAGAAGCGCAAGUGACGGUACCUAUAGAAGAAGCACCGGCCAACUACGUG
rnacentral:rRNA from 1 species